rnacentral:lncRNA from 1 species
AUCAUUCAAGUCCACAACAGUGGACCCCAAAAAGUAAUCAUUCAGCAAUGAAUUUGUCCUAAGUAUGAGGAACGGGUAACAAGAAUCCAGUUCGCCAUACAAGCCUACGAUAAGACAUAUCUGCAUGGAGAUCACAAAACUAAAAUCAUGCUGGUCCUACAUUUUUUCUUUCUCUCUCCAGUUAGUAUGAUAACACAAUUGAUGUUACAAUAUCGGAUACGCAAAAUUUAGAAGAUGUAACAUCAGAUCAUGGAUGGUUAUACUUGCAAAGUCGAUCAAUGAGAAGAAUUCACAGUAGAGACUUCAGGGUAAGUAAAGACGGAUUAGAAGCAUAAGUUCUCUAACAUUAACUUAUAUAACAUCUUCAAUUAAAUCAAAAGUCGGAUGACUCCGCCUUGUCACCCCAAAUAACAGUUACCAGUCUACGCAUGUAUGCAUCCGGAUUCUUUGAAUGAAAUUAGUCCCUAGCAGCAGAGAUUACUUUCUGAGGAAUGCUUUUAUUUCAGAUAGAAGGUUGAUAUCCUUACUUUUGACCAAAUGGUCAUGUCACUCAAUUCAACUGAUUUUAUUUUCCUUGUGCUAAAUUUCAUCGAAUGACCAAAAUUCUAAGCCAUAAGGCAUAAAAGCCAAGUUAGUAUGACGCGAUAUCAAGGACUUUCUCUCUUAACAUAGGUCUGCAAGCAUGGCAAAAUAUUUUCCAAGAGAUUCUUGCUACACCAAGAUCAAAGAUAACAUAAAACUAAUAAUUGCUGCUGCAGCAUCUAUAUAAUCAUUCUAAUCUUUUAUGAUUAACAGCUACACAAUUAUUUAUGAACUAAAAAGUCACAUUUUCGUUUUCCAAAAGAAACCCAUCAAUAAAAUGAUCAUCCCAAGGGUGUUUAUCUCUCUGUAAUAAAAAUUAACAAAUAAGCUAUCGUCCCUUUUAAAUUUGAUUUAAACAGUUUUAACAGUUUUCAUUCUAAAGAAAUUCUAACGAGAAAGUCUUACAAACUCUAUACUUGUUUAACAUAAUUUAUAAAGCAAUUAAGAGUAUUUAAUCAUAUAUAUUAGGAUCUCUUCAAUGUUCAAUACUUUAAAGGAAAGGGCUUUUUCUUUCAUUGAUGCACACAAAUACAACAAUAUAUGUAAGUGAAUGCUUAUAAAUGUAGUCAAGAUCUUCUCUAAAAGUUUCGCACUUUCAAAAAUGCAUUUUGCUUUUUAAUAUGUUUUAUGAUGUUUACAGUGGAGUUUCAGGUUUAUUAUCAAUUCAAAUGAUUAAGAUUUCUGCAGCACUAGCCUGCCUUUGGCAAUAUAUAUUCAAAUUCUCUCAGCUCAGGUCUGCGUCAUUAUAAUUGAAAAAAAGAUCAUUUACAGUGAUUCACUUUAGCUUUAACAUAGAGAGAUCAAAAGGAAACUACUUACACAUUAUUUGAUAGAAGCAAAACAACUUCAUGAAUUUGCAACUGAUCAUGGUAACAUGCAAUCAACUGAAGUAUUAUUAGUGUUGACUCUUACAGCAAUUAAUCAGUCAAGGUUGGCAAAUAAAUGAAUAAUACAAAACUUAGAAGAGAAGACGCUCACUUCAUCCAGCAUUCAAUGCCAAUGUGCCUGAUCGCAUGACAGUGUAUUGAGCAACCUGAUUAAAAUUUUUCAUCAUGAUAUAAAGCAUUAAAAGCUAAUGACUCCAGUGUACUAGUAACUACACCUCAUAUUCAAGACUGAACCAGAAGAGAAGCAAUAUAGUCCAACUGUCAUUGCUAGUAAUGUCUUCUUGGAAGCUAAUCUUUUGAGACGCAAACACCUAUGGCAGUUGGUAUAUGAGCAGUUUUGAGAGACCAGAUCCAAUCAAGCAAAGAAAGUGAAACCUUACAUCAAAGGAAACAACUAAAGGCACUUCCUCUCCAAAUGGACCAACAUCAUCCCUUUACAUCUCCUACAAUUUAAAAGAGAGAGGACUUCUUUCCUUCCCUGCAUACUGAGCAUAAUAAGAACACUGCAAGUUCAAAGCUGAUAGAAUAUUGGACUUAAAAUUCAGAUAUUAUAAAUUCUAAAGAGUGCUCUAUCUUUGCUAUACCAAACAGCAUCAUAAUUAUUCAAAGUAGUUAGUGAAGUGCAAAGGGAGGACAAGUAUCUAUGUCAUUCAUACUCAUUUAAAGUACACAGGUUUUAAUAUUACAUCCACUUCCAAAGUUCAAGCUCCUUCUGAUCUUUUAAUUUGAUGGAAACCAAAUAAGUGAAGUGAAAAGUUGGCUAUUGGGAACCCAAAAUAGCAAUAAAGGAUUCAAUGGGAUUCUGUUGCGGGCCCGAGUCUGGGAUCAAGUCACCAAACGAGUAGCACAAAAAUCAGAUUCGAACGAAGGGUCUUUGCCCUUAUUUCGAUUCCUAUUUUUUCCUGUGGUUAUUGAACUCUUAAGGGAGUUGCCUACCUUGAAACUCUAAGCGAGUUGCCUACCUUAAACUUACUGAAACUUUCAACUUUCAACUUGUAAUAUUCAUGAAUUAUUUUCCUAUUUAAACAGAGUUUAAAAAUUAGGUAAUAGAUGCCAAGCCCAAAUCUGAUAGCAUACUGGGAAAGUCUUAUUUAAACUAAUAAGGAAAUUCUUAAAAAUAAAAUCAGAAUUAAAUCCCACAAAACUAGAAUCACAUCACAAUGAAAUCAAAAUCAGAACCCUUUUCCUACUGCUGGUUUCUUGCGUCUGGCAUAGUUCUUCGCCACAAAGGCAUCGGUAACAGAUUCUGUAUUACAUUUCUGUUCAACUCCUUUUGUAACCAGCAAAAUCUAACAUUCCAUAUAGUUCCAAUGAUAAAUUGGUAGUAUAUUUAUAUUUCUAACUUCUGGGCACCUAAUUUACAAAAUGAUUAGAACUUCAGAUACAAAACUAAUCAACAUAUCACGGAUGGACAUUUUCUCCUUUGCAAAAUAAAACAUGCGAUAUUGCCUCACACCCACACACACACACAGAGAAGGAAUAAAAGCUGAAUAUGCAAACUAAAAACCGAACUGACAUGUAAUGGCUGGGAUCUGUCGCACUUGCAAAUACAGACCAAUAAAUAUGGUUGAAACAAUGACUCAAAAUGGCACUUUUAGAAUAAAUUUGCUGACUGAGAGCUCUAAUAAACACAAAAUCAUAUCUAUCUCAAGCAACAGAAAACGUAAACGAACAACUAAAUCCAUUGAUGUUUGGAUCACUCACAAGUUCUAGAUGUUCAAUCCUAGUUUCUAGCUUGGAUGCAAUAACAUGCACUUGAAGCCACUCAAAAACUUCAAGUUCACCUUGUCUCCUUUCCUAAAUCAUUUUACAUGUUCUAUCCGUACAUAUUAUAGACUGAGAAAUCUGUCAAAAGAUAGCCUUAAUGGUUAGCCUUGCAACGAAACAAGCAUCCUUCACCUAGAAUACCGAGCACCAUGAAGAUUAAUACCUCAAUCGAGGCCAGCCUAGAUGAUAUGUAACAGGUCCCAGUUUGGACCGUCCUUAAUCAACGAAAUUUAAAAACAUUUAUCAACCAACCUGUUUUAGGUAAUCAUCUAAAAGCACUAUAACAUGAUCAUCCUGCCCAGUAUCGAGAAUGAAAAUAUGCACUGCUUUAUGCUUCCUCCCUCCUUAGAGACUGCAAAAAAUGAGAACAUAUUACAAAAAUCACAUGGGACUAAGUAAAAAGUUAUCCUACAUAAAUGCAGGGGAAACCACAAGCGACUGAGCAAAGUCAUUGAAUAUGUAAAUGCAGGGGAAAAAGUAGCAAGAAAUUUUCCAAUCAAAUAAACCCCUAACAAGCAAUAACAUUUACAUGCUCACUUCAAAAGAACUAGACACUUACCAUCCAGAUAGUUAGGAUCUUGAUUAUUAUGUUCAGCGAAACAUUACCCAGAUAUGAACUUACAUUUGAAACAAGAAUACUCAACUAGCUAUAGUAUUCGAGGUUUCAGCGUAAAAUACACAAGCAUAACAUGCAAAGAAACUCAACAACAACAUUUAAUUCAAAAAGGUUGAGGAACCAAAGCUGGAGCUAUUCAAUUGAGACUACAAAGAAAGGUUGAAUUGCGACCUUGAAACAGAACCAAAUCAAAUGAAAGGAUUUUAGUUUUAUAGCUUUAAACAAAGUUUAUAUAAAAAGCAUUUAAACAACAAAAGAGGCUUGUUAUUUAACUCAAAUUUAAGAAGCAGAGAGGUAACCAUAUCAGCAAAUUUUGUAGUAAUUGUUUGAAUGUCAGGGUUUUUUCUUUUAUUGCACCGAGAGAAAAUGAACGAUCAGCAUCGCCACUGUUGGCCUCGAACUUUUCUUCUGCUGGUUCCCUAAUGCUUUCUGUUUUUAAGUUUCACCCGUACACGUGUAAAGAAGCUAAGUUCAUAUAACAAAAUUACAACCAGGAUGAAUGGGUAAGAAUAUCAGUGACAUUAAAUAUUUUAGUGUGAAAUAAAAAGUAAUUUAAGAUUUUAUAUAUUUCACUGAAAAUAAUUUUUAAAAAAUAAUUUAUUUUUCUGAUAAUUAUUGUAUAGAAAAAAAAAAGUCAAAAUAUUAUAGGUAAAAGCAACAAAAAAAUUGAGAGGAUUAUCGGAAAAGGGAAAUAGUAUGUCAAAAAUAUAUAUUGAAUAUUAGUAAAAGUACAGUUCUUGUAUUAUACCUUAAUAAUAGGUGAUGUCAUUUUUAUAUAUUUUUUUGUAUAAAUCAUAUGAAAAUGAUUAAUGAUUAAGAUAAAAAAAUUUAUUUUAUAUUUUUUAAUCCCAUUUACCAUUUUUUAAUUUAAAUAUCAUAUUUUUGUGCUAUUUUUAUAAUAUUUUUUCAAAACUUUUUUCUUAAAAUAUGUUUUUUUAAGGAGAAUAUUUUUAUUAAAUCAACACAAAGUCAAUGCUCUAAUUAUCAUGAGUUAGUAUUGCGAAGUAUAAUCAACACUACCUUAGCACUUAUGGGUAUCGAGAGCUUAGAGGUUUGAACUAUACUUAAAAAAUUUAUUUACCCAUUCUCCCAACUAACCUAUUUAACAGAUAAAAGUCAACAAUCAUAAGAGUCAACUUCCAUGCUAUAAAUAUCCCCACUCAUUUUGUUUUUCUCAUUAUCCAAAAUUUUCUUGAACUCUUAGACUGUAAAAGAACUUUUAUUUUGUUCUUCUUUUCUUAGAGAAAAUUGAUCACAUCAAGAUUUCAAGGAGAACACAUUACAGUCUCCGUCAUCUAUACAAUAGGAUUUCCAACUCAAUUGUUUUUAAUUUGGUAAAUUUUUUCAAAUAUGUUUUUAAGAUUUUGCAUUUGGUCAUUUUUUUUAUUUAUAAUUUUUUGAAAAACGAGAAGAUUAAAUUAUUCGUGAUCAACAUAAUUUAAACAUAAUUUAAAAUUCCUGAAGAUUGAUGAACAUAUUGUAUAGCUCUUGAAGAGUGUUGGUUCAUAUAUAACAUCUACUGUUACAAAGUUCAUUAUAUUAUUAGAGUUGCUUGUCGCCUUGUUAGAUAGAUGAAGACAAAAACAUAAACAUUUCAUUUUUCAUAAAGGAAAACAAGUAUAAUGCUAGAAGAUGUCGCUUUAAUAAUUAGCCUUUCAAUCGUUAGGAAGCAAUAAUCAUAUCUAGUAACGUCAACUCAAUGUACAAGUGCCAUUGAUUGUUGGAUGUCAUCCUAUCUAAAGAUAAGCUGGAGAAAGAAUUAGAUGGGAAUUUGGUGAACAUUAACAUGUCAUCCACGUACAGAUUUAUGAUGACACAAUCAGAACCAAACAUCUUAGAAUAUAAACAUGCUUCUGCACAAUUAUCAAUAAAAUCAAAACUAAGAAUAGUCUUAUAAAAUUUCUCAUACCAUUGUUUUGGAGCUUGUUUGAGGCCAUACAAAGAGUUUUGAGUAUGCGAACUUUAUCUUCCAUACCAGGUGUCACAAAACCUGAAGGUUGCGUGUCAACCCAAUUAGAGGAUCCGAAUAUAAAAUGCCAUAUUGAAAUGCUGAAACAACCUAAAUUACUAUUUCACCUUAUUGAAAUAGUAGUGAAAUGGUAAAUUUGUUUCUAAAAAAUUCGGCAACAUUUCUGCUCAUUUUGCAUAAAACCCCCUGCAAAAAUUUAAAUUUCACAAUAUAUUCAUAUUUAAAUCAUCUCCCAAAUCAAUUCCCAACACAUCCAUAUUCCGAAAAAUACUGCAACCUAAGUAUAUCACAUUAAAACAAUUUAAUUAACUAAUAAUAUUAUUAUUAUAGCAACCAAAAGUUAUUUUUUUUUGUCACAAAAAUAUAUCUAUAGCCAAAUGACUUUACUAAAAACCAAGUACAUGCCAACUUGAAACAAAACAAAAUAUACGAACUUGGUUGAGUUCAAGAUUUGUCGGUUGGAUGCUAAUAACUCUGAGUACAAAAUCUCAAAAUAUACCUAGCUUGUAUAUGAAAACAAGACCAUUCGGUGAGUAUUAAUUUCAAAUGGUAUUACUAUAAUUUACUCAAUAUAGCAUAAAAUUUAAAUAAUUGGAGAUUUAUUUCUUCCUAAGAUCAAUUCAAGUAUGUUUCAUAUCAAAGUGUAUCCAAAACAUUAAUAUACAUAUGUAUCCCAAACAACCAAAAGUGAUAUUAUAACUAACAAAUCUAUUUUAACGAACUUAUUAACAUUUUUUUUUUUUGCUAACGGCGUGCGCAACCUUAUUCGAUUUUGUCUUAAUUUGUCAUAUUGCAUUACAUUACCAGUUUGAUUCAAACCAUUCUUCUUGUUCAAUAUUGAUGUUCGCUAAUACACAGCUCAGAUCCGAACUAAUUUACAGAUCCUAUUAAUACUAUAAUUUGACACUUAAUGCCUCAUCGAUAUGUCCCAAACUAAACAGAUUGUGCCCAGCACUUAUUAGUUAAUCCAAAGCAAUAAUCGUGCCCAGCACGUGCGCUCGGCACUCAUUGACCUAUAGUCGAAGUAAUUUUAUAUCGGUACAUCCAACGUAAACAAUUUGCGCCCUGCGCUCAUCGACUCAGCCUAAGUAGUAAUUGUGAAAGCCACAGUUGGGACAUUCGAAUGAAAAUGCACCUAGCGCUCAUCAACUUAUAGUCUAAGCAAUUAUUAUUACUAUUAUUUUACUUGAUUCUUUAACUCGUUAAUUAUUCUCAACUUUGCCCAACAAUUAAUACAAUAAACCAUAGUCUAAUUUCAUUCUCAGUUCAAUUUCCAUUAUAUUGAUCUCAGCAACAAUUCUUCCAUUAAAUGUCAUUUCAUAUUAAACAUGACAUAAUUUGUCUCAUGUUCAAGCCAAAUGCAUAAUUUUAAUAAAUUAUAUUGUUUCAAUUUUUUUUUUUACGAUUUAACUCUCUAUAACAAUAAUCUAUCUCAAUAUUGUAUUUCUAGUCAGCCACUCAUGUGUAACUUCCUUCGUUUUGUCAACUUACCUAACAAUGAAAUUAAAAGGAAAAAUAAAUAAUAAGUUGAGUUAUGAUGGUACUUACAGGGAAUUUCAAACUACUCGUCGGUGACUUUAGCUUUUUCCUUCGCUUUUGAAGAAACCGGAUUGUCAAUAGCUACAAAUUAACAUAAACAAAUAACACCAUCAAUAAUUCACCCAAUUCACAGUCAAUUAUUAUCUUAAACAAAUUUUACAUUUCAUUCAAUUUAAAUUCUUAAAAUCGAAACAUGCUAACUCUCCAUUCUAAGCUUCGAUUUAUAGUCCGACUUCAUUUCCUUCGAUUAUAGACCCUCUAUUAUCGAUUUCUAACAAAAUCUCAUAACCACUCUACUUGAUAUCCACUUUAUUUGCUCAAGUGAAAAAUCUAACAUCUAACUUCAAAAAUUCAGCCAUUUUUCAUGUAUAGACUAAAAAUCAAUCAAUUUAACAUAAAAAAAUAUAGAAAAAUUAUUAAUGGUAACUUUCUAAAACUUUAACGGUUUUAUAAAUGAUACACAAAUUAGUUAAAUUAUGAUCUUCCGAUCUCAAAAAUAUAAAAUUUAUAAGAAAAGUAAUAAAUUACACUUACCAAUUUGUGGAUUAAAGUUGGAAACCCUAACCAAAUCUAUUUUGUUUCUUUUGUCCUUUUUCUUUUCUUAUCACGUGGAAGGAUAGAGAAUACAUCUUCUCUCUCCUUCCACUUAAACUAAUUUAACUUUUUUUUUAAUUUUUUAAUAAUAAAUAAUAACAUAUAACAUCAACGGUUUUUUUUAGUUACAAAUUUGGCAUUUUUAUUGCCAUUCAAAAUUUUUGGGCUACAAUCAAUUUUAGUCUCUUUAACUAUUUUCAAAUUAAAAUUUAUAGCAAUCUAAAUUUACAAUUUAAUCUUUAGACUAGAUUAAAUACUCAAAUCAACUAAAUUACUUAUCCUCGAUUCAAUUCAUUUAUAGCAUAAUUCCGUAAAUAUUUUUAUUAAUUAUCUAUAGACUCGGUUUAUUAAAUUAAAACCUAAAAUCGUACUUUUCGACACCACUGUAUCGAGUUGUUACAAUUCUCCUAUUUUUAAGAAAUUUCGUCAUCAAAAUUUACCUGGAAAAAGAUAGGGGUAUUGGGAUUUCAUUGUUUCCUCUAGUUUCCAGGUCGCUUUUUCUAUAUUAUGAUUACGCCAUAGAACUUUCACCAGUGGUACACGUUUAUUUCUUAGCUCGUUCACUUCUUGAGAUAAGAUUUUCACCGGUUCUUCCUCAUAAGUCAAAUCAUGUUUAACUUCAAUUUCUUCUACCAAAAUCACAUGAUAUGAGUCAGAACGGUCUCGUCUGAGCAUUGACACAUCAAAUACGUCAUUAAUCUUUUGCAAUUCUGGUGGUAGAGCUAGACGAUAAGCAACUGGUCCCACUCUCUCAAUAAUUUCAUACGGUCCUAUAAAUCUACGACUCAUUUUCCCUUACGACCAAAUCAUAGGACUUUCUUCCACAAGGAAACUUUCAAAAAUACUUUAUCUACCAUCGAAUACUCAAUAUACCUCCGUUUCAAGUCCGUAUAUGACUUUUGUCUAUCGAAUGCUACUUUUAAACUAUCUUGUAUAAGUUUAACUACAUUUUCUGUUUCUUGAAUCAACUCUGGCCCGGUCACACUUCUCUCACUCAGCUCAGCCCAACAGACUGGCGUUUUACAUCUCCGACAUACAAUGCUUAAUACAGAGCCAUCUGAAUACUUAAUUGGAAACUGUUAUUAUACACAAAUUCAGCUAACGGUAAAUAACUUUCCCAACCUGAUUCAAAAUUUAUAAUACAAGCACAUAACAUAUCUUGCAAAAUUUGGAUGACUCGUUCUAAUUGGCCAUCGGAUUGACGAUAAAAUGUUGAACUAAAAUUUAACCUCGUACCUAUGAUUCAUGCAACUACUUCCAAAAUCUAGAUGUAAAACGAGAAUCUCGAUCAGAGAUAAUAGACGCAGGUACACCGUACAGUCUAACUAUCUUGCAAAUGUAAACUUCCGCUGACUUUGGAAGUGACCAAUCUGUCCUUACUGCUGAGAAAUGUAAUAACUUUAUAAGUUGAUCAACUAUCACUAAUCUAAUCACAAAAUCCAUCGUAACUCACUCUCACUACCACUCAAGAAUCGAGAUAGGCUGAAAUAAUCCAGUGGGAACCUGAUGCUCAGCUUUUACCCAUUGACAAGUCAAACACUUAGCAACAUGUUCAACAAUCUCCUUUUUCAUUCUUAACCACCAGUAUAAUUUUUGUAGAUCACGAUACAUUUUCGCACCACCAAGAUGCAUAGCAAAAGGACCAUCGUGAACUUCACAUAGAAUUAACUCCUUCAACUCUACAUUAUCAGGAAUGCAAAGGCGAUUACGAAGGAGAAGACAAUCAUUAGUAUCAAUGCUAAAAUUCUCAUUAUCACCCUAACAAGCAAGCUUCCAUUUCUCGGACAAUUUCGUAUCGAAUCAACUGUGCCUCCUUAAUUUGAUCGAGCAACACAGGUUUAACUUGUAAUUCAACUAUUAGAUUGCCAUCAUCACCAAUUCUGAGCUGAGCAAACAUUGCUCACAAUUCAAUCGCUGUCUUUCUGCUUAACGCAUCAGCUACAAUAUUUGCUUUACUAGGAUGAUAAUUAAUCACGCAAUCAUAAUCCUUUAAUAACUUAAUCCAGCGGCGUUGUCUCAAGUUCAAUUCCCUUUGAGAUAGAAGAUAUUUAAGACUUUUAUCGUCAAUGUAGGAUACGACAUUUCUCACCAUAGAGAUAGUGUCUCCAUAUCUUUACAGCAAAAACCACUGCAGCAAGAUCUAAAUCAUGCGUCAGGUAAUUGCGUUCAUGCAGUUUCAGUUGUCAGGAUGCAUACGCAAUCACUUUACCAUGCUGUAUCAAUACACAACCUAACCCAUUCAACGAGGCGUUACUAUAAACCACAAAUUCCUUCCCCGAUUCAAAUAGGUUUAAAAUUGGAGCUUCAGUUAACAUCACUUUCAAUUUCUCAAAACUUUUUUGACAUUGUUCUGUCCAAACAAAUGGUAUAUUCUUCUGAAACAAUUUUGUCAUCAGCAUUGCUAUCUUGAAAAAUUCGUUUACAAAUCUUAUAUAAUAGCCGGUUAGACAAAAGAAACUCCUAUUCUCUGACACAUUCUUCAGUGCCUUCCACUGAAGAAUAGCUUCAACUUUUCCCGGUCAACCCGAAUUCUUUCAGCUGAAAUCACAUGCCUUAGAAAAACCACUUUAGACAACCAGAAUUCACAUUUAUUGAACUUCCCAUACAGUUGUUUCUCUCGCAAUACUUGCAAUACAAUUCUGAGAUGCUCAUCAUGCUCGAUCUCCGAUUUUGAAUAUACCAAAAUAUCAUUAAUAAAUACUACCACAAAUUGAUCUAGAUAAGGUUGAAAUAUACGAUUCAUGAGAUCCAUUAAUGCCGCAGGAGCGUUUGUCAGUCCGAAUGGCAUUACCAGAAACUCAUAGUGACCUUUCCGCGUAUGAAACAUUGUUUUUGGUACAUCACUAUCCUUCACCUUCAAUUGGUAGUACCCCGAUCUCAAGUCAAUUUUAGAAAAGAUCGAAGAUUCCUUCAACUGAUCAAACAAAUCAUCGAUUCACGGUGAAGGGUAUCGAUUUUUAAUCGUCAACUUAUUUGGUUGACGAUAAUCAAUAAAAAGUCGUAUAAAUCUAUCUUUCUUCUUAACAAACAAAACUGGAGCUCCCCAAGGCGAGAUACAAUGGCAUAUAAAUCCACAAUCCAAUAAAUCUUGCAAUUGAAUUUUUAGCUCCUUUAAUUCUGUCGGUGCCAUUUGAUAUGGAGCUAUUGAUACAAGGGUUGUAUCAAGAAAAAUUUCAAUCGCAAACUCAACUUCUCGAUCAGGUGGUAGUCCCGAUAAUUCCUCCGAAAACACAUUAGAAAACUCACAUACCGUUCGAAUAUUGCUUAUCUGCCCCUCCUCCAAAUUUGAAUUAAUGACAUAGGUUAGGAAAUCUUCACAAUCUUGAUUCAUGAGCUUAUUAACUUAAACUAAAGAAAGGAUGCGAGACGAACUGUUCGAUCUAAUACCAUUUACUUCCAUUUUCUCUCCAUCUAUACCUUGGAUUAAAAUUUUCUUCCUAUGACAAUCUAGAAUUACACCAUAUUCUGUCAACCAGUGCAUACCCAAAAUCAUAUCGAAAUCACCAAAUGGCAUGAUUAAUAAAUCAAAAAUGAAGAAUAUGUUUUGGAUUUCCAAUGGACAUCGCUUACAAACUUGAUCAACUAAUACGAUUUGUCCUAAAUGACUCAUUACCACCAUUGCAAUACUUGACAUUUCCAACUUUAAAUAAUUCCUUUUCAAAAAACUAACAUUUAUAAAAGAGUAAGAUGAACCAAAAUCAAUCAGGGUAUAUACAGAUGCUGAACAUAAAAGAAAUAUACCUGCUAUGACAUCUGUAGCAUCACCCUCUUCAUAGGUCCGCACAACAUAGGCCUGUGCUGGAGCUCUGACCUUUGAUUGCUGAGUAGCAGAACCCGUAUCUUUCCUCUGAAUCCCUCGUGAAACAAAACCACUACGAGGAUUUCCUCGCCCCCUAGCAGAAGGAAUGGACCUUUGAGCUAUCACUAGAGAAGUAUCUUCAUUCUUCAAACAAUCCCGAGAAAAAUGUUCCAAAGAUCCACAUCGAAAAUAAGCUUUUUUCAACUUCCAGCAUUCACUUCGGUGCUUUUUCCCAUAAUGAACACACGUUGGAAUAUCAGAAUCUCUUGCAGGACCUCUCACGCUACGCACUGGUACCGACGGUUGACAAUCUCGAGCUCUCUCAAGUUUAGAAAAUUUUGAGGUCGUUCUCCUAGACUCACGAGUUUCUUUAGCUCUCUUAGAUGUCUGAUACGAACUAGAAGUCCCUGCUCGUUUCCCAAUAGCUCGAGAGAAUUCAGAUUUCUUAUCAAGACUCAAGACGUGUUCUACCAUUUUAGCUCGUUCAGUCAAGUCAACAAACUCCUUAAUUCUAUGAGAAGCCAACUGAACUUUGAGUUCAUCUCGCAAUCCUUGAAGGAACCGCUUACAACUCUCUUCUUCAGUUGGCACAAGCUCCGAGGCAUAUUUACUAAGCCGAAGAAACUCACGCUCAUAAUCCAUCACAGACAUCUCACCCUGCUUCAAUGUUAAGAACUCAUGUUUCCGGUCUUCCAAAUAUAAUUCGCCAACGUAUUUCUUUUGAAAUUCAGACUGAAAAAAUUCCCAAUCAAUCCGAUCCGCUGAUACAUGACGGGUAACUGUCUGCCACCAUAGAUACGCCUCUUCUUCCAAAAGAGAGACAGCGAAUGUGACACAUUCCCCUGGAGUACACCCGAGCUGUUGCAAUACUCGAUUUGUUGAUUUCAACCAAGCUUCAGCUGAUGAUGGAUCAAUCCCUUUUAAACCCAUAAAUUCUAUGGCACCAUAUUUUCGCAAUUCUUUUAUCAGUGCUUGUCGAAUUACUGACGCUAGAAAAGUUGUAGGAGUAGAUCCAUCUACUCGUUGAAGAGCUUCUACUAUAACACAGAGCAAGAUCUCAUCAAUAUGACCCUCGAGUCUAGGUUUAGCAUCUCUAAACUGUUGAGCACCAGCUGAGUCCAUAACAGGUGUUUCUGACCCAAUUCUACUUUCAUUCUUAGCGGAAGAACCACCGUCAUUUACAUCAUGAUCAACUUCAUUUCUGGCUUCUACAGACAUCUUUAGCUAUAAAACAAGAAAAAAAAUUUAAAAUUAUAACCAACAUCCAAAUCUCGACCCCGACUCGACUUAACUUUGGCAUGUACUUUUAGACUCAAUUCUUAACUUGAUCUAAUCCGAGAAUUGGCUAAACCUAUAAUUCUAAUACCACUAAAUGUGACAACUUAUAUCCAACCCAAUUAGAGGAUCCGAAUAUAAACUGCCACAUUGAAAUGCCGAAACAACCUAAAUUACUAUUUCACUUUAUUGAAAUGGUAGUGUAGUCGUAAAUUUGUUUUUAAAAAAUUCGACAACAUUUCUACUUAUUUUACAUUAAACCCCCUACAAAAAUUUAGAUUUCACAAUAUAUUCAUAUUCAAAUCAUCUCCCAAAUCAAUUCCCAACACUUCCAUAUUUCAAAACAUACCGCAACCUAAGUAUAUCACAUUAAAACAAUUUAAUUAACUAAUAAUAUUAUUAUAGCAACCAAAAGUUAAUAUUUUUUUUUGUCACAAAAAUUAUAUCUAUAGCCAAAUGACUUUAUUAAAAACCAAGUACAUGCAAACUUGAAACAAAACAAAUUAUACGAACUUGGUUAAUUUUAAUUUUAAGAUAUGAGUCCUUAUAUUUUAAUUUUAAGAUACGAGUCACCAAACGAGCAGCAGAAGAAUCAGAUUCGAAUGAAGGGUCCUUGCCCUUAUUUCGAUUCCUAUUUUUGCCUGUGGUUAUUUAACUCUUAGGAGUUGCCUACCUUGAAACUCUAAGCGAGUUGCCUACCUUAAACUUACUGGAACUUUCAACUUUCAACUUGUAAUAUUCAUGAAUUAUUUUCCUAUUUAAACAGUGUUUAAAAAUUAGGUAAUAGAUGCCAAGCCCAAAUCAGAUAGCAUACUAGGAAAGUCUUAUUUAAACUAAUAAGGAAAUUCUUAAAAAUAAAAUCAGAAUUAAAUCCCACAAAAAUAGAAUCACAUCACAAUGAAAUCAAAAUCAGAUCCCUUCUCCUACGGCUGGUUUCUUGCGUCUGGCAUAGUUCUUCGCCACAAAGGCAUCGGUAACAGAUUCUGUAUUACAUUUCUGUUCAACUCCUUUUGUAACCAGCAAAAUCUAACAUUCCAUAUAGUUCCAAUGAUAAAUUGGUAGUAUAUUUAUAUUUCUGACUUCUGAGCACCUAAUUUACAAAAUGAUUAGAACUUCAGAUACAAAACUAAUCAACAUAUCAAGGAUGGACAUUUUCUCCUUUGCAAAAUAAAACAUGCGAUAUUGCCUCACACGCACACACACACAGAGGGAAGGAAAAAAAGCUGAAUAUGCAAACUAAAAACCUAACUGACAUGUAAUGGCUGGGAUCUGUCACACUUGCAAAUACAGACCAAUAAAUAUGGUUGAAACAAUGACUCAAAAUGGCACUUUUAGAAUAAAUUUGCUGACCGAGAGCUCUAAUAAACACAAAAUCAUAUCUAUCUCAAGCAACAUAAAACGUAAACGAACAACUAAAUCCAUUGAUGUUUGGAUCACUCACAAGUUCUAGAUGUUCAAUCCUAGUUUUAGCUUGGAUGCAAUAACAUGCACUUGAAGCCACUCAAAAACUUCAAGUUCACCUUGUCUCCUUUCCUAAAUCAUUUUACAUGUUCUAUCUGUACAUAUUAUAGACUGAGAAAUCUGUCAAAAGAUAGCCUACAUAGUUAGCCUUGCAACGAAACAAGCAUCCUUCACCUAGAAUACCGAGCACCAUGAAGAUUAAUACCUCAAUCGAGGCCAGCCUAGAUGAUAUGUAACAGGUCCCAGUUUGGACCGUCCUUAAUCAACGAAAUUUAAAAACAUUUAUCAACCAACCUGUUUUAGGUAAUCAUCUAAAAGCACUAUAACAUGAUCACCCUGCCUGUAUCGAGAAUGAAAAUAUGCACUGCUUUAUGCUUCCUCCCUCCUUAGAGACUGCAAAAAAAGAGAACAUAUUACAAAACUCACAUGGGACUAAGUAAAAAGUUAUCCUACAUAAAUGCAGGGAAAACCACAUGCGACUGAGCAAAGUCGUUGAAUAUGUAAAUGCAGGGGAAAAAGUAGCAAGAAAUUUUCCAAUCAAAUAAACCCCUAACAAGCAAUAACAUUUACAUGCUCACUUCAAAAGAACUAGACACUUACCAUCCAGAUAGUUAGGAUCUUGAUUAUUAUGUUCAGCGAAACAUUACCCAGAUAUGAACUUACAUUUGAAACAAGAAUACUCAACUAGCUAUAAUAUUCGAGGUUUCAGCGUAAAAUACACAAGCAUAACAUGCAAAGAAACUCAACAACAACAUUUAAUUCAAAAAGGUUGAGGAACCGAAGCUGGAGCUAUUCAAUUGAGACUACAAAGAAAGGUUGAAUUGCGACCUUGAAACAGAACCAAAUCAAAUGAAAGGAUUUUAGUUUUAUAGCUUUAAACAAAGUUUAUAUAAAAAGCAUUUAAACAACAAAAGAGGCUUGUUAUUUAACUCAAAUUUAAGAAGCAGAGAGGUAACCAUAUCAGCAAAUUUUGUAGGAAUUGUUUGAAUCGUCAGGGUUUUUUCUUUUAUUGCACCGAGAGAAAAUGAACGAUCAGCAUCGCCACUGUUGGCCUCGAACUUUUCUUCUGCUGGUUCCCUAAUGCUUUCUGUUUUUAAGUUUCACCCGUACACGUGUAGAGGAGGUUAG